CCCCUGUCCUAGUCCUACGCAAAUGAUGGUCAGGAGGACUUUUUUUUUUUUAAUGUGCUGAUACUACACGUCAUUAGAACCCACAUAAAUAAAUACCUUCCAGUUAUCCAGAUCAUCUGGAAACGAGGCAUCAAGGAAAUCUCAACCAUCUUGAACAUUCUGUUUUUCCUGGAGUACAAGAUAAGAGUCAAAAGAUGAAAGUGGUAUUUCUGAUCGCUUUCCUUUUGGUCAUGGCUCACUGCACACCAGUACGAGAAUUUAAUCCUGGAAUUCGCCAUGAUUACUUCUUAAACUGGCAGAGGAUCUAUCACAGAAUGAGCCCAUAUCAACUAUUCUUGUAUCACAAGGUAAACUCAUUCAAUCUAAUAUCUAAAAGUCCUCAUUAAAAAGUUACACGUGUGGUUAAUUCCUUUUAGAAGACUUUAUGUCAACUGACAGAUGUCUUUGUCUGUUUUUUUUUUUUUUUUGCUAAGCAAGCUCAGAGAUCAGUUUAUACUUAUUUUCAGGAAUUAUGUUUCGUAUAGACUUUGAUCUGUAGAUGGCAGCUUCUUGGUAUAUUGCUUGCUUCUUCACAUCUCCCUGAAGAUGCUUGGAGCAUCUUUGAAAGCUCAGGUUUCUGCUCAGAGAGAACUGUCAAAGCAUACAGCUCUCUGUUCCUCACCUUGGUACUUGACUGUCCUUUCUUUUCAUAGGCAGGGAUGAACCUCCAUGUUUCUAUGGAUCCUUGUUGCUUUUUUUUUUUUUUUUUAGUGAAGCUGCUAAUCUCUGGAAAAUUUUUGUACCAGUACUCUGCUCGGCUAACUCCUAACUCCAUUCUCUUCAUAUGUUUU
rnacentral:lncRNA from 1 species